UGCGGGGCCGCGGUCAUCGGCCAUGGCCAUGACCAUGGCGAGCGGCCCGCUGCGGUGGCCAUGGACGAGCUCGAGCUCGAUGGGGGAGCAACGGGGAGAGGAACAUGAGGCUAUGGGGGAGGAAGAAAAUGGCCCCCUCGUUCUUGCCGUCAGUUCGUCGCUCGAUCUGUGCCAGCCUGCUGCGUCAAAUGUGAUGGAUUCGUUGUGCGACGCCGGUGUUCCUUGUUCUUGCCGUCGUUGCGCUAGAUCUGAUGGUGCGUUCAUCAAUUUGUGGGUUCUCGUUCUUCUCGUCAGUUCGUCGCUUGAUCUGUGCCAGCCUGCUGCGUCUUCAUCCAGGGAUGUACAGGCUGGCCAAUGAGAGGCAAAGGGUAUUAUUCCCUGGUUGGAUUUAUGUGGUGUCCUAUCUUCCUUAAUUCCUGGAUUAUAGCUAAAAGAGAGCUGACUAGGCCCACCUGGGAGAGCAGGUAAGCACAUUCGUGUCUGGUGUGUCAGAUCUGCUAAAUUGAACUCUUGCACUUCAAGAUAGAUUUCCAUGUAUUAUUACUUUGGACUGACAGCGAGUUCAUAAAUUGUUGCUCUGUAGUGAUAAUACUCUUAGAUUAUUUCAGACUUAUUGAUUUGAAUGCUGAAAUAUCUUUCUGACCCUAUACAAAAAAUAUUGUUUUGUGUAAAUAAUGCAUCACAUAUUUUUUACUGUUGGAAAAUGAAUUAUUUAUGUAUAGUUACUACCGAAUUAUAUCAGAAUAAUAAAUCUAUCACUCGCUCCAAUUAUUUGUAAUUCUGGGUUAUGCUUUUCUUAUCUAAACUACUUGAUGUGACAAAAUAUCUUAAACAAGCUCUGUGAUUUGUAUGCUCUCUUAUAUUAUCAAAGAUGAUUGCACUUAUAUGAUAUGUUUGAUAGUUCCUAUAUACUCCGAAAGAAAAAAUAGCUGAUGUUCCG